rnacentral:lncRNA from 1 species
UCUAUAUUGGUUGUUCACUUAACGAAUGCAUUGACAUAGAUGCACACAUACAUACAUGAUUCUUUGUAUGAUUAUAUGUUAACUUACUUGCUUCCUCAUUUUCUGUCUCCAUUCCUUGGUUCGUCAUUUACUUUUGUACCUUCAUUCCUUAGUUCCUUGCGUGUGUUUACUUGUUUCCUUAUUUUUCUUCUUUGAUUCUUUGCUUAUGUACUUGUUACAUGCAUUAAUACAUUCAUACACUGGAUACGUACAUUCAUACAUGCAUACAUACAUAGCAUACAUACAUUCAUCUAUGCAUACACACAUAUGUAUACUUGCAUACUUCCUUGUACACAUUCAUAAUUGCUUGUCUGUUUCUUUGAUUCGUUGUUUACUUCUUUGCUUCCUUGAUUCUUUGUCCGGUUCUUUGCUUACUUGUUUUUCUGCCUUCAUGGCUUGCUUGCUUAAUUUCCAGUUUCCUUGGUUUGUUUUUAACUUCAUUGUGUGCUUGUUUGCUUCCUUACUUUUGUCCUUGCUUAAUUGUUUGCUCUCUUAUUUCAUUGUUUGCUUGUUGGCUUCCUUAUUUCAUGACUUGCUUGCUUAAUUUCUAGUUUCCAUGGUUUGUUUUUUACUUCAUUGUGUGCUUGUCUGCUUCCUUAUUUUCAUGACUUGCUUGUUUAAUUUCCAGUUUCCUUGGUUUGUUUUUAACUUCCUUGUGUGCUUGUUUGCUUCCUUCCUUUUGUCCCUGCUUGUUUCCUUGAUUCCUUGCUUACUUGUUUGCUCUCUUAUUUCAUUGGGUGCUUGUUUGCUUCCUUAUUUUCAUGACUUGCUUGCUUAAUUUCCAGUUUCCUUGGUUUGUUUUUUACUUCAUUGUGUGCUUGUUUGCUUCCUUCCUUGUGUCCUUGCUUGCUUAUUUCAUUGUGUGCUUGUUUGCUUCCUUAUUUUCUAUCAAAAUAUGCAUUUUGCUUACAUAGUUCAUUGAGCGUCUGUCAAGAAAAAUUCCUUGUGGUCAUUAAUGUCGCUACCACAAAAAUAUCUCUUUAUCAAAUAACUUACUGGAAAGACAUAUGUGGAAUAAAUUUCGCUGGUCAAGUUCUAUGAUCAUUAUUCUCUCUAAUUUUUUAUUUGUUGGUUUUAAUUGUCAGGGUUUGAGUGAGACCCUGACACAACGUUUACUUGCAACCUUCUUCUAAACUGCCUCAUGGAAUCUCUGGCACAAGGUUUGAAUACCGUGUUUUUCCCUCAAAGUUCAACAGUUUGAUGCGAUGUCAUAGUUUCUAUACCAAAUCAGAUAAGGUAUAAAUGUUUUAACUCUGCUUGACCAACCGACCUAGACAAAGGUAUUCUAGAUAUGGAACUCGUUUGAUAUAGAUAUUCUGUCUUUUGUUCCUCUGAAUCACUCAGUUGAUUUCUAUCAUUAAUUUUGGUAUCUAGACAGAUAAUUUUGUCAUUUUUUGUUCCAGAAACAGAAAAUCAUCCAACAAUUGUGACCAUAUUCCUGCUUUUGUUCCAGAAGAAGAUUAAAUAAACUCCAUGGUUCUCU